AAAACAAUUACGCUGUUAUCCCCGGAGUAACUUAAUCAAAUUACCUUAACAACUAUAGGUUCAACAUAAAAAUUCUAUUUUAUAAAAAACAUAAAUUUUAUAGAAGUUAUUAUUAUUCUACAACCGCCCCAGCAUAAUCAUGAAUGAUUUUAUCUCUUAUCCAUAUUAUUGUUGCAUAAACCAAACCACAAUUUAAGAUUCACGGGGUCUUCUCGUCCCACUUAUCAAUAUUUAAGCUUUCUCACUCAAAAAUAAAAUUACAUCACACACAAAACAAAGAAAGACCUACAUUCAUUAACCCAUUCAUACAAUUUCACAAUCAAUAAACUAAUUAUUAUGCUACCUUUGCAA
rnacentral:rRNA from 1 species